rnacentral:rRNA from 1 species
GACGAACGCUGGCGGCGUGCCUAAUACAUGCAAGUUAAGCGCUGAAGGUUGGUACUUGUACCAACUGGAUGAGCAGCGAACGGGUGAGUAACGCGUGGGGAAUCUGCCUUUGAGCGGGGGACAACAUUUGGAAACGAAUGCUAAUACCGCAUAAAAACUUUAAACACAAGUUUUAAGUUUGAAAGAUGCAAUUGCAUCACUCAAAGAUGAUCCCGCGUUGUAUUAGCUAGUUGGUGAGGUAAAGGCUCACCAAGGCGAUGAUACAUAGCCGACCUGAGAGGGUGAUCGGCCACAUUGGGACUGAGACACGGCCCAAACUCCUACGGGAGGCAGCAGUAGGGAAUCUUCGGCAAUAGACGAAAGUCUGACCGAGCAACGCCGCGUGAGUGAAGAAGGUUUUCGGAUCGUAAAACUCGGUUGGUAGAGAAGAACGUUGGUGAGAGCGGAAAGCUCAUCAAGUGACGGUAACUACCCAGAAAGGGACGGCUAACUACGUG